rnacentral:rRNA from 1 species
CUCGAAAGCCUGUCUCAGUUCGGAUUGGAGGUUGAAACCCGCCUCCAUGAAGUUGGAUUCGCUAGUAAUCGCGCAUCAGCCAUGGCGCGGUGAAUACGUUCCCGGGCCUUGUACACACCGCCCGUCAAGCCAUGGGAGCCGGGGGUGCCUGAAGUUCGUGACCGCAAGGAGCGACCUAGGGCAAAACUGGUGACUGGGGCUAAGUCGUAACAAGGUAUC